CUUGCAAUGAAGCGUGGCUUACAGCUCCCAAGACGCACCAGCCACAGGCCUCCGAUUGGCACCCCCACGGGCUUCUGGGAGUUGUAGUUUUUCAGAGCCUUCGCUUCCUUGUCCUGAAAUGACCUAUCGCCCACUUAUCAACGCUCCUGGCCUGAGGGGCUCCGCGGCCUCCCGGGCGAUUGGCCGAGUCACGGCUGGGUCUGGCCUCUAAGGCAGGGAACUGAAGGGCAGCCAUCGCGGAGCAGACAGUCGCUACGGCCCUGCCACUGCACAUAAUAGUGGAGCUCCAGGAGUGGGAAAAGAAGAAAAGCUGUCAUGCAAGCAUCCUUGAUAGAGGGUCAAUUUCUUUGUCAAGUCUCGAGUUGAUGACUGGAUUUUUACACGUAUUUGACAAUACAGUCCAAACACAACGGAAAUCAACUACAAAGUGAAAUUGCGCAUCUCAUGAAAGAUAAUUUUAUGAGAUUGAUGAAAGAAGGCCAAUGAGCUUAGUCCACAGUGAAAGAGGGGAAAAGACAUUGACAUCGAAGAGAUGCAGCUCCACAUGUAUGAAAUGACACCUGUAUGAAGUCUUUCAUUGUUGCAUUAUUUGCUCAGCAAAAGGUACCUGGUUAAAUAAACGAUGGUAUGAUAAGCAGCGGGAAAAACAAAUAAGGAAGAUCUCUAUGUGCUAAUAUGAAAAGAGCUUUAGGAUGUAUUGGUUUCUGGAGGCUGGAAGUCUGAGAUCAGGGGUCAGCAUGGCCAGGUACAGAUGGGAAAAAAAUGACGCUCAGAGAGCUUACCCAGUGUUUCCAAGGACACUCAGCUGGAAUGUAACAUAACUGAGAUUUCUACCUGGCUAUCUGCUGUCUGACCAUGGGGUCUUCAUUCUUUGUCUCCUUAAUUGAGCAAAGGAUACAUCUAGUUACAGCAAAGGAUAAAUCUAGAAUCCAUGCCACAUAAACUGCAUUAAAUAUUUGUCCAAAUGAUGCCUGACAGCAGAAGUGUGGGCCUGGAUGUCCCUGCUUCUGCUUUUCUGGAGAUAAGGCCUGCCUACUGAAUUUCUGGUUUCCAUUACAGCUGAUGACAUGAAAGAAAUGCUUAUGGAUUCUACAAACCCUCCUUGCAAUCAUUGCUCUGGUUCCAGAUGGAGAGGAGAUGACUGAGUGGAUUUACCUGUGCUCCUGGAAACCUGGGCAGAGAGAAGAAUGGAAUGAAAGCUGCUGAAUUAAACUCAGAAUAGGGAUGAUUUAUAAGAGUAUCUUCUGUUGUGGAAUAGAUACGUAAGGGGAAAUCUAUUUUGUGUUGUCAAACAAAUUAGUAAUUAAAACUGAUUCCUGGUCAUUGAU